AAAAAACCUAGAAAAGCCCUGGAAUUACAAAGAAGACUAGUAGACAACGUAUAAGCGAUGACGCAGUGAACGAACUCGACGAAUAAAAUAACAAAAUGUUCCAGGGGGCGUUGGCGAUGGAAACAGAGUGGGGCAGAUCAAAUCGUCCACCCACCCUCUCAUCGUCUUCUCCGCCCGCUUUCUCUCUUUUUCCCUCCUCUCCUACCCUCCCACACACAUUCACACCCCUUUCCUCUCCCUCUCUCUUUCUCUCCAAUCCAUUAUUCUCCUUUCCAUGGCUUCCUCCUCUCCUUUCCUCUCCAAAAUCCCCAUCUCCAACAAAACCAUCUCCUUCACUUCCUCUCUCUCCCCCCUGCCUUCCACAUUUCCUUUCAAAUCCGUUCGCCACCACAGACGAAAUGCGUUGAGGGUCCAAUCGAAGAUCCGGGAGAUCUUCAUGCCCGCUCUCAGCUCCACCAUGACUGAGGGCAAGAUCGUCUCCUGGAUUAAAUCCGAAGGUGACGUCCUCUCCAAAGGUGAAAGCGUCGUCGUUGUUGAGUCCGAUAAGGCCGACAUGGAUGUUGAGACCUUCUACGACGGCAUUCUCGCUGCAAUUGUUGUGCCUGAGGGUGAAACUGCUCCUGUCGGUGCUCCUAUCGGACUUUUAGCUGAGACUGAGGACGAAAUUGCUGAAGCCAAAGCAAAAGCCAACUCAAAAACGGGUAGUACUGGUUCUGAAGCUGUUGCUUCCACUCCUCCUCCUGCUACUUCUGCUCCUGCUCCCGCAAUUUCGCAACCCGCAGCUGCUCCCGCGAUUCCUGCUGUUGAGGGGCCCAGGAAGAUAGUGGCGACGCCGUAUGCAAAGAAGUUGGCCAAGCAGCAUAAGGUGGAUAUCAACAAGGUAGUUGGAAAGGGGCCGUUCGGGAGGAUUACUCCGGCUGACGUGGAGGCAGCGGCAGGUAUUACCCCUUCCAAACCUGUGGCUCCGAAGCCUACUCCAGUAGCGGCCGCUGCUGCUGCCCCUUCUCCUCCAGCUAAACCUGCUGCUACUCCAUCAGCUCCUCCACUUCCAGGAUCUACGGUAGUACCGUUUACAACAAUGCAAGCGGCAGUGUCAAAAAAUAUGGUGGACAGUCUUUCAGUACCCACUUUUCGGGUUGGAUAUCCAGUGACAACCGAUGCACUUGAUGUACUAUAUGAGAAGGUGAAACCAAAAGGUGUGACAAUGACUGCAUUAUUGGCAAAAGCUGCAGCCAUGGCACUUGUUCAACACCCAGUCGUGAAUGCCAGCUGCAAAGAUGGGAAAAGUUUUACCUAUAACAGUAACGUUAACAUUGCAGUGGCAGUGGCAAUCAAUGGCGGAUUGAUAACCCCUGUUCUUCAAAAUGCAGAUAAGUUGGAUCUAUACUUAUUAUCACAAAAGUGGAAAGAGUUGGUGGAGAAAGCCAGAGCAAAGCAACUUCAGCCCCAGGAGUACAAUUCAGGGACAUUCACUCUAUCCAAUUUGGGAAUGUUUGGAGUGGACAGGUUUGAUGCUAUUCUUCCUCCUGGUCAGGUGAGCUAUGAUGGUUAGCUCUUUUUCCUCUGUUUUUGAUUUUUUCUCCUUAAUCAUAUGAAGAUUCCAAAGUAGGUACAGCCUAAGUAAACUAGGAGGACAUGUUAUUAACUAUGUUUCCUUGAGGAAAAGGAAAAACAGAAAACAAGAGGAAGAAGAAAUUGUGUGUAUAAAAACCUUUCAUAAAAAGCAUCAAAACAUUAUGCUGGAUUUUCAAAAGCUUGCAAAUAUUAUUCUCCACGAACUUGACAGAACAUAGCUAAUGGAGUGAUAUCCUAUUUUUGAUUUAGCUCUGCAUAAACACUGCUCCAAAAUGCACUAUUAAGUAGUGUCAACCAAUUUAUGCCAAUAGUAAAUAUAUCAAUUACCAAAGAGUUCCUACCUAUUCACAGAGAAGAAGUAAUUUUUUACCAAUUACACAUCCCUUUUACAAAGAAAAUGUCUAUUUACUGGCAUUUCCCUCAUCUCAUCAUAGUAUCAAAUGGUUGAAGUUCAUUCCCUUGAAGCUUCUCAAGCAGAAAAGGAUAAAUGUAAGUGAACUUACAGUUCUUAAACAGCUUUUAAGGAAAAGGCUUUAUAUAAUGAUACUUUGCCCUAAGUUUCCUUCAUCCUUCCCCCCAUUCUAUUUAUAGAGGACUGAACUGAUUAAGGGCUUUCGUUUGAAUUCAUGUAUACCUGUAUCUCCAAAUUCUGGGGUUUAAAAGUAGGGCUUGGCAUUGCCAGAUCUCAACUCAUACAAAAGCAAUUGCCUAACAACUCUUCUGUUUGAAACUAAUGAGAAAGGAGCCAGAAAUUUCUUAUUGUGUGAAUCCCCUGACCAAGAAUAAUGCCCAAAACAAAUAGAAGUUUCAUCACUCACAUCAAUAGUGAAGCAAAACCAGCCCUUUCUAGUAAGCUACCAUAUGAGUACUCCAUGCGUAAUUCUAUUAACUUCAAUUUAGCCUAUGAAAGCCCUUCAUAAGUAAUCUUUCUACACCUUGAAUCUUUGUUACUAUUUUCCCAGGGCAGUUCUAUUCAGAACUGUUUAAAUUUUCAUCCCUAUCCCUCCCUUCCAAAUAGUAGAAAUUCAUCCUCUGCACUUCCCAAAAGAGCAUCUGAAUGCCACCUAUCUUCUUGCAACAAACGGACAUGAAAUAAAUAGCAAAACUUGAUAGUUACUUUCAAUGGGAGUGAGCUUCCCAGAUCUGCUAGUUAAGGGAAUCUACUCAUUGCUGUUUUUUUAUUAGUUAAUGAAAUAUACUUGCAGCUGUUUUUCUAUUAGUUAAUAGAAACUACUAAUUGCUCUUUUAAUCAUUUGCUCAAACUUUGAAAUGUUGUUCAGGGGGCUAUAAUGGCGGUUGGAGCAUCAAAACCAACUGUGGUGGCUGAUGCAGAUGGAUUCUUUUGUGUUAAAAGUAAAAUGCUGGUGAGUUUGAUUUUUGAUCCCCUUUUUUUCUUUAAUAAAGAAUAUAUGACAAUGAUAUAGACCUGCAUUAAAAACUUUCUAAUAACUUAGAUUCUGUGCUUUUUAAGUAGCGAUUUAUUGUACAUAUUAUUUGUAAUGUUAUUCUCAUGCCAAUAAUGGACUCAAAUUGUCCAAAUUUUGAUCACAUUGAGGUAUCAUAGAAAUUUGAGUGGAAGAAAUAUGUUGAGCUGAAGAUGCAGCGUUAAACUAAGAAUUUGAAUUUGAUGGGGUCCUAUACAGAUUCUUUUUCCCUUGGACAUUGGAUGUCAAUUGAAUAAAUAUAUAUAUAUUUUUAAUCUCAUGUCUGUAAUCUGUACUGGCUAGUAAUGUGGAUAAAGACUUGAUUCAACUGAAUAAAACCUUAAAAUGAAAAAUCACUUUCAUGGUUCAUGGCGUAUCAUAAUAUCAUAGAAAAAUUUGCACACUGAGACGAGGCAAAUGUUUAAAAUUUCAGUAAAAUCUUGGCUCUGUUAUGUCCUAUCUGAGGUAGUGAUACUGAUGCCUCUACUUUUAUACCUUGGCAUGUUUUCUAUAUAAUUAAAAUAGCUGUUCAUUUUCUCAAAGUUGUUGAUCUACAUCUUCUUCAAGGGGAAGAACAUAGAGAACAUAGAUCAUGUUUACAAAUCUCAACUGUGAAAAGCAAAAGCCAUGCCUUUCAAUUUUUUUAUGGCCUCCUCAGCUUCUGUCUUCAGAUAUGGAGAAAUAUAACUUAUUGCUGAAAAGACUGCCACUAAAUAAUUCUCUCUACAAAUUUUUUAUGGUAAAAUGUUUCAAAUAUUUUUAUUCAGCAAAUGCAAAAAUGCCCAUCAACUGGGAGCAUGUAUUUGGAUUUUGGAAGUUUUGCAUUUUGCUUACAGGUAAAUAUUUGCAUGGAAAAACUUAAUCGAAUUGUAUUUGAUUUUUUCCCCAGGUGAAUGUGACAGCUGAUCACAGAACUGUCUAUGGUGCUGACUUGGCUGCCUUUCUUCAAACGUUCGCAAAGAUUGUUGAGAACCCAGAAAGCCUGACAUUGUAAUGACGUUUUGGGCUUUCAGGCCACGGUUCUGCUGAUUUUGAGUUACCUACUAUUUGGUUGUUGUCAAGAUGCUGGUGCCUACGAAACAAAGCGCUCGGCCGGCGAGGCCGGUUUUGCAGUCCUCUUUAGCGAUAUUAUGCUCAUGUUGUAUUUUUUUAAAAUGUUUUAAUUAUAAGGAUUACAGUGACAUCGAGUAGAUUUUUAAAAGAAGGGAAUAAUAAUAUUUCAAAUUUUUAGCUUUUGACA
rnacentral:misc_RNA from 1 species